GACGUAGGGGGCCAGCGUUGUUCGGAAUUACUGGGUGUAAAGGGUUCGUAGGCGGUGUGGCAAGUUGGGAGUGAAAUCUCUGGGCUCAACCCAGAGGCUGCUUCCAAAACUGCUGUGCUUGAGGCCGGGAGAGGCGAGUGGAAUUCCCAGUGUAGCGGUGAAAUGCGUAGAUAUUGGGAGGAACACCAGUGGCGAAGGCGGCUCGCUGGACCGGUUCUGACGCUGAUGCGCGAAAGCGUGGGGAGCAAACGGG
rnacentral:rRNA from 1 species